rnacentral:tRNA from 1 species
GGGGGAUUAGCUCAGCUGGGAGAGCGCUACAAUGGCAUUGUAGAGGUCAGGGGUUCGAUCCCCCUAUCCUCCA